rnacentral:rRNA from 1 species
UGAGGAAUAUUGGUCAAUGGGCGCAAGCCUGAACCAGCCAUGCCGCGUGCAGGAUGAAGCAUCUAUGGUGUGUAAACUGCUUUUGUACGGGAAGAAACCACCCCUCGUGAGGGGUAUUGACGGUACCGUAAGAAUAAGGAUCGGCUAACUCCGUGCCAGCAGCCGCGGUAAUACGGAGGAUCCAAGCGUUAUCCGGAAUCAUUGGGUUUAAAGGGUCCGUAGGCGGGUCUGUAAGUCAGUGGUGAAAUCUCCCCGCUCAACGGGGAAACUGCCAUUGAUACUGCAGGUCUUGAAUUAUUGGGAAGUAACUAGAAUAUGUAGUGUAGCGGUGAAAUGCUUAGAGAUUACAUAGAACACCGAUUGCGAAGGCAGCUCACUACGGAUGUAUUGACACUGAGGCACGAAAGCGUGGGGAUCAAACA